rnacentral:rRNA from 1 species
UACAGAGGGUACAAGCGUUGUUCGGAAUUACUGGGCGUAAAGCGAGUGUAGGCGGUCUGCUAAGUCGGGUGUGAAAGCCCUGGGCUCAACCCAGGAAGUGCACUCGAAACUGGCAGGCUAGAGUACUGGAGAGGUUGGUGGAAUUCUCGGUGUAGAGGUGAAAUUCGUAGAUAUCGAGAGGAACACCGGUGGCGAAGGCGGCCAACUGGACAGAUACUGACGCUGAGACUCGAAAGCGUGGGGAGCAAACAGG